rnacentral:rRNA from 1 species
UACGAAGGGGGCUAGCGUUGUUCGGAAUCACUGGGCUUAAAGGGCGCGUAGGCGGGCGGCCGCGUCCGGGGUGAAAUCCCACGGCUCAACCGUGGAACGGCCUCGGAUACGGGCGGCCUCGAGGGGGGUAGGGGCAUCUGGAACUGUGAGUGGAGCGGUGAAAUGCGUUGAUAUUCACAGGAACUCCGGUGGCGAAGGCGAGGUGCUGGACCCCAUCUGACGCUGAGGCGCGAAAGCCAGGGGAGCGAACGGG